ACUGCGAGUGAAGCGGCAAAAGCUCAAAUUUGAAAUCUGGUACCUUUGGGUGCCCGAGUUGUAAUUUGGAGAGGCAACUUCGAAGGAGGCGCUGGCCUAAGUUCCUUGGAACAGGACGUCACAGAGGGUGAGAAUCCCGUGCUUGGCUGGCUGUCCUCCUUCAUGUGAAGUGUCUUCGACGAGUCGAGUUGUUUGGGAAUGCAGCUCAAAAUGGGUGGUAAACUCCAUCUAAGGCUAAAUAUUGGCGAGAGACCGAUAGCGCACAAGUAGAGUGAUCGAAAGAUGAAAAGCACUUUGNAAAGAGAGUUAAAAAGUACGUGAAAUUGUUGAAAGGGAAGCGCUUGAGACCAGACUCGGUGAUUGGUGAUCAGCGGUUGCUUUUGCUCCGUGCACUUGCCUUUUUACUGGGCCAGCAUCANUUGUGACGGCGGGAUAAAGACUCNGGGAAUGUNGCUCUCUUCNGGGAGUGUUAUAGCCCUGGGUGUAAUGCCGCCUGUUACGANUGAGGACCGCGCUUCGNCUAAGAGGCUGGNAUANUGGUCUUC
rnacentral:rRNA from 1 species